UAAUUGUACACGCUAAUUUCAAUUAUCACUAGGAAGUUCGUUAAUCACGCGGAAGGCACCGCAUUUUUAAAAACGAACACGAGAGCGGUUAAUGGCAAACGUUGUCCAACAUGAGGCACCUGUGGAUCGUGGUCGUCUUAGUGGUACUUGCAGUUCUUUCCGGAUGUUCAGAGGGUCUCAAUAAAAACCAGGAGAAUGCGUUGCGUGCGGCGAAAAAAUAUCUGGAGAUGAGCCGAAAGAAGUCCAUGAUGAAUUAGCUGCACUUUUUUAUGAAGUUUAAAUCGGAAUGCUAC